rnacentral:rRNA from 1 species
UUGGGCUGUUCGCCCAUUAAAGUGGCACGCGAGCUGGGUUCAGAACGUCGCGAGACAGUUCGGUCCCUAUCUGUUGUGGGCGUUGGAAGUUUGCGCGGGCCUGUCCUUAGUACGAGAGGACCGGGAUGGACAGACCUCUGGUGUACCAGUUAUGCCGCCAGGUGUACAGCUGGGUAGCUAAGUCUGGUUAGGAUAAGCGCUGAAAGCAUCUAAGCGCGAAACCUGCCGCAAGAUUAGACUUCCUUAUAGGGUUGUAGUAGACGACUACGUUGAUAGGCUGUAGGUGUAAAGAUGGUAACAUCAAAGCCGAGCAGUACUAAUCGCCCGAACUUCUUCUAACU